UACGUAGGGUGCAAGCGUUGUCCGGAAUUAUUGGGCGUAAAGGGCUCGUAGGCGGUUCGUCGCGUCGGCUGUGAAAACCUGAGGCUCAACCUCAGGCCUGCAGUCGAUACGGGCGGACUUGAGUACUGCAGGGGAGACUGGAAUUCCUGGUGUAGCGGUGGAAUGCGCAGAUAUCAGGAGGAACACCGGUGGCGAAGGCGGGUCUCUGGGCAGUAACUGACGCUGAGGAGCGAAAGCGUGGGUAGCAAACAGG
rnacentral:rRNA from 1 species